rnacentral:rRNA from 1 species
ACUCCUGCGGGAGGCAGCAGUGGGGAAUUUUGGACAAUGGGCGAAAGCCUGAUCCAGCAAUGCCGCGUGCAGGAUGAAGGCCUUCGGGUUGUAAACUGCUUUUGUACGGAACGAAAAAGCUCCUUCUAAUACAGGGGGCCCAUGACGGUACCGUAAGAAUAAGCACCGGCUAACUACGUGCCAGCAGCCGCGGUAAUACGUAGGGUGCGAGCGUUAAUCGGAAUUACUGGGCGUAAAGCGUGCGCAGGCGGUUAUGUAAGACAGAUGUGAAAUCCCCGGGCUCAACCUGGGAACUGCAUUUGUGACUGCAUGGCUAGAGUACGGUAGAGGGGGAUGGAAUUCCGCGUGUAGCAGUGAAAUGCGUAGAUAUGCGGAGGAACACCGAUGGCGAAGGCAAUCCCCUGGACCUGUACUGACGCUCAUGCACGAAAGCGUGGGGAGCAAACAGGAUUAGAAACCCCAGUAGUCCC